GAAUAUUGGACAAUGGGCGAAAGCCUGAUCCAGCAACGCCGCGUGGGGGAUGAAGGCCUUCGGGUUGUAAACUCCUGUCAGGUGGGACGAAAAAGCUUCGGUUAAUACCCGGAGUCUCUGACGGUACCACCAGAGGAAGCCCCGGCUAACUCCGUGCCAGCAGCCGCGGUAAUACGGAGGGGGCGAGCGUUAUUCGGAAUUAUUGGGCGUAAAGGGCGCGUAGGCGGCCUGAUAUGUCAGGGGUGAAAUCCCUCGGCUCAACCGAGGAAUUGCCCUUGAAACUGUCAGGCUUGAGGCCGGGAGAGGGUAGUGGAAUUCCGAGUGUAGCGGUGAAAUGCGUAGAUAUUCGGAGGAACACCAGUGGCGAAGGCGGCUACCUGGACCGGUUCUGACGCUGAGGCGCGAAAGCGUGGGGAGCAAACAGG
rnacentral:rRNA from 1 species